rnacentral:lncRNA from 1 species
GUGAAGGCAUGAUAUCCAAGAGAUUAGACCAGGCAAUUGUCAGGAUCCUGUACUGCCUUCCUUUUGUGUUUUCUUGUUCCUGACAUGUGCUUUCCCCUGUUUGUUUAUAUUGUCAGGUGCUUGUUGUGUUUGUGUUGUCAGGCCAUGUGUUGUCUGUCUUUGUCCUGAGACUCCGCCCCCACCUGCCCUCUGCCACUUCCUGGUUUUUACCCUCACCUGUUCCCGAACUUCACCCUGUUUGUUUGCCUGAUUUGUUUCACCUGAGUCUUGUUGUCUAGUUCCCCCUUAUGUAUUUAAGUUCAGUCUGUCUUGCGCUUCGCGUGCGUGUUUGUCAGUUUUAGCAUGGUGAGAGUUCUGUCCUGUUUAGCUGUGUGCUUUCCUGAAUUCCUUCUCUGCCUUGCUUCCAUGUUUUUUGUGUUUUCGCUCUGCCUGUUUUGUACUCAUAAUUUUGGGUCUUCUGUGAUUUCGGAUUUUUGUGUUUUUGCCGUUGGAUCUUCUGUGCUUUUCCCUUUUUGUGAAUAAACCCUGAACUGUCUCUGCAUCUGGUCUGCGAUUGGGUCCUUUCCUGAAAAUCCUGACAACGCAAUAGGUCUUCAUGAAGUGUGGUGGAAUGCACACAAAUUCAGUCAUUAAUUAGACAGCUUCUGACAUUUCAACAGAUCCUGCGUGAAGACUUGAACGACUGUGAUAAUGUGGCUUUUCCUGGGCCACUUGUGAAAGGUGAGACUGACCGGAAGGAGAUGUACCGUUACAUUCUAAUGGAAUGGCGGCGAUGCGUUGUAGAUCCCUCUCGUGAAGACCAAGUGGGAGCUGAGAUGGUCUGGAGCCUCCUGGCACUGCUGUGCAGGAAGCGUGGCUGUGAAAAUGUUGUUGGGAUCCACAUGAUGACUUGUAAAGAGAUGGCUGCCCAGAAACAAGCUUGGACCUUUAGCGGCACAGGACUGUAG